AUACGUAGGGGGCGAGCGUUGUCCGGAAUGAUUGGGCGUAAAGGGCGCGUAGGCGGCCCGGUAAGUCUGGAGUGAAAGUCCUGUUUUUAAGAUGGGAAUUGCUUUGGAUACUGUCGGGCUUGAGUGCAGGAGAGGUAAGUGGAAUUCCCAGUGUAGCGGUGAAAUGCGUAGAGAUUGGGAGGAACACCAGUGGCGAAGGCGACUUACUGGACUGUAACUGACGCUGGGCCGCGAAAGUGUGGGGAGCAAACAGGAUUAGAUACCCUGGUAGUCCACACUGUAAACGAUGAAUGCUAGGUGUAGGGGGUAUCGACCCCUUCUGUGCCGCAGUCAACACAAUAAGCAUUCCGCCUGGGGAGUACGGCCGCAAGGUUGAAACUCAAAUGAAUUGACGGGG
rnacentral:rRNA from 1 species